GGGCCCGUAGCUCAGCCAGGUAGAGCGCCCGGCUCAUAACCGGGUGGACCGGGGUUCAAAUCCCCGCGGGCCCA
rfam:Thermosphaera aggregans DSM 11486, complete genome.